UGGACUGGCCGAAAGGCCCUGGUCCACCGAAACGGCGUGGGGAUCCCGC
rnacentral:sRNA from 12 species